CUCCGUCAACUUCACCGUUUG
rnacentral:miRNA from 1 species